UACGUAUGGUGCAAGCGUUAUCCGGAUUUACUGGGCGUAAAGGGAGCGCAGGCGGCGCGCCAAGUCUGAUGUGAAACCCCGGGGCUCAACCCCGGGCAUGCAUUGGAAACUGGCGGGCUGGAGUGCCGGAGAGGUAAGCGGAAUUCCUAGUGUAGCGGUGAAAUGCGUAGAUAUAUGGAAGAACACCAGUGGCGAAAGCGGCUCUCUGGUCUGUAACUGACGCUGAGGUUCGAAAGCGUGGGUAGCAAACAGG
rnacentral:rRNA from 1 species